rnacentral:lncRNA from 1 species
AGCAGUGGGGAAAUGAUUUUUCUUAUUUAUCAGGGGUCUUAUGACCAGCAAAAUGCAACAGAAGGUCGCUACUCAUUGAAUUUCCAGAAGGCAAGAAAAUCCGCCAACCUUGUCAUCUCCGCUUCACAACUGGGGGACUCAGCAAUGUACUUCUUCUCAGUAUCACUGUGUCUUAUAACACCGACAAGCUCAUCUUUGGGACUGGGACCAGAUUACAAGUCUUUCCAAUAUCCAGAACCCUGACCCUGCCGUGUACCAGCUGAGAGAC